CAAAAAUCAACCCGUUUGCAAAAAUCAUCGGGGGCUACAGACUGAGAAGCAUUUUGACUGAUGCAUCGAUCAAUAAGUAAUAGAACAAAAAGCAUAUACGGGAAAUGGUAUUGCCCAUAUCCUCAUUAAGUUGAACUAAUUCCGCAUCGAGGAAUAAAAGGUCCAGAUUGGCAAGCAUUUAUCCGACAGUUCCACAUGCUGCAGACAGACCGACAUCGCCAAAGAGUAUGCAGACUUUUGCAGAUGCCCAGGUUCUCUCCAACAAGUGUGGAAUAUGGAACGCGUACCGGUUUGCCUAGUCCUAAUGGAUCACUUUGUUAAAAUAUCUUCUUUUCGGUAUGUUUUGCCUGCGUGUUGACUAAGUUGUUCUUUGCUUGUGUCUGUAUUUUUUUUCCUUCCCUUUGUUUUUUGUUCGUCGACGAUUGCUGACUCGUUAUAGCUUUUUCAAAUAGAUACCGUUACUUACUUACAUUAUGAAUUGUUUUACAACUGUUUCAUUCAUAUGCAGAUUUCCGGUGAGACAGAGGCAAUUUUCUUGAAGAUGCUUUGUUUUGAAUGAACUUUGACCUUUUUGUUGCGUCUGCUGUUGUCUUAUCCGGAUGUUCAUUGAUCCUUGCUUUUAGUACAUGUGUAGUUGUUUCUGCACGCAAGAAUUGAAAUGUACUGAUGUGACUCAAUUUUACACGUACUUUCAUUUUAAAGAAAAUUGUCUCGUUUGAAUCUUGAGUUUAGUCACUAUGUAUUUUUUUAAAAUUUUAUUUUAUUUUACUCAUCGACACUUUUUACAUACAUGUAUAAUAGCUCACAUGUUUAAAAUACGGCUCUCGGUAGCUUCUAUCGAACCGAUUGAUUUUCAUUUUAUCUAACCAAAGGCUUUUUAUUUACAUAGCAUGCACAAACGAUUUCUGUUUGAACUGCAGAGUAAAAUGAAACAACACUUAAGCUUGCUUUAGAAAUGCACCUUUCUUGAUUAGCAAACAAGGGUUCAAGUAUGAUUUUUGUUAAAGGUCGUUCUGGCUUAUCUAUUAUCUAGUUCACUGGGUUCGUAGUAGAUUGAAAUAACGCUCAUUCAUGCUCUCUAUACGGGUGUGUGGUUUUUCUUUGAACUGUCCAUGGUUUUCGGAGAAAACGACGAUUACGUAACAGCAUGUCCGGUCUUGUUAGGCUGUGGAAUUAGGACGAUCGGGUAUGCAGUUUGUGGGUUUCUAGGCGCAUUAUUUUCUAUUGUUUAUGAAAAUGCCCCCAGAAAUCCUAAAAAUUGUGUAUCCAAGUCAUCUAAUUAAUUUCUGUGAUGGGCGUUUCUUGUGGUUUUAUUUCUUUUCUCGAUUGGUUCUCUCUUGAUGUGCUCAAUAAUGGAUUCAUGACGUAAACUGAACGUGUAAUGAAUGGAGGUGAGUUACAAUCUCAUUUCGGUUUGGCUUCGGAUUUUCUUUACAAUUUGUGAUGCAAAAUAUGCAUUUCAAGGAAGGUAUGUAUUGAAAAAAUAAUUGAUAAUAAUUUCAAUUUUUUCGUUUCAAAAAAUGUACUUUUACAUAUCAAAUGACUGAAUGAAAAUAAAUUUUCUUAAAUUAAAA